AGUGAACGCUGGCGGUAGGCCUAACACAUGCAAGUCGAACGGCAGCACAGUAAGAGCUUGCUCUUACGGGUGGCGAGUGGCGGACGGGUGAGGAAUACAUCGGAAUCUACUUUUUCGUGGGGGAUAACGUAGGGAAACUUACGCUAAUACCGCAUACGACCUACGGGUGAAAUCAGGGGAUCUUCGGACCUUGCGCGAUUGAAUGAGCCGAUGUCGGAUUAGCUAGUUGGCGGGGUAAAGGCCCACCAAGGCGACGAUCCGCAGCUGGUCUGAGAGGAUGAUCAGCCACACUGGAACUGAGACACGGUCCAGACUCCUACGGGAGGCAGCAGUGGGGAAUAUUGGACAAUGGGCGCAAGCCUGAUCCAGCAAUACCGCGUGGGUGAAGAAGGCCUUCGGGUUGUAAAGCCCUUUUGUUGGGAAAGAAAAGCAGCAGGUUAAUACCCCGCUGUUCUGACGGUACCCAAAGAAUAAGCACCGGCUAACUUCGUG
rnacentral:rRNA from 1 species